GAUGAACGCUGGCGGCGUGCCUAAUACAUGCAAGUCGAGCGAACAGACGAGGAGCUUGCUCCUCUGACGUUAGCGGCGGACGGGUGAGUAACACGUGGAUAACCUACCUAUAAGACUGGGAUAACUUCGGGAAACCGGAGCUAAUACCGGAUAAUAUAUUGAACCGCAUGGUUCAAUAGUGAAAGACGGUUUUGCUGUCACUUAUAGAUGGAUCCGCGCCGCAUUAGCUAGUUGGUAAGGUAACGGCUUACCAAGGCAACGAUGCGUAGCCGACCUGAGAGGGGGAUCGGCCACACGGGAACUGAGACACGGUCCAGACCCCUACGGGAGGCAGCAGGAGGGAAUCUGCCGCAAUGGGCGAAAGCCUGACGGAGCAACGCGGCGGGAGUGAUGAAGGUCUUCGGUUCGUAAAACUCUGUUAUUAGGGAAGAACAAAUGUGUAAGUAACUAUGCACGUCUUGACGGUACCUAAUCAGAAAGCCACGGCUAACUACGU
rnacentral:rRNA from 1 species